rnacentral:rRNA from 1 species
GACGAACGCUGGCGGCGUGCCUAAUACAUGCAAGUCGAGCGGACGGAUGGGAGCUUGCUCCCAGACCGUCAGCGGCGGACGGGUGAGUAACACGUGGGCAACCUGCCUGUAAGACUGGGAUAACUCCGGGAAACCGGGGCUAAUACCGGAUAACUCUUUCCCUCACAUGAGGGAAAGCUGAAAGAUGGCAUCUCGCUAUCACUUACAGAUGGGCCCGCGUCGCAUUAGCGAGUUGGUGAGGUAACGGCUCACCAAGGCGACGAUGCGUAGCCGACCUGAGAGGGUGAUCGGCCACACUGGGACUGAGACACGGCCCAGACUCCUACGGGAGGCAGCAGUAGGGAAUCUUCCGCAAUGGACGAAAGUCUGACGGAGCAACGCCGCGUGAGUGAUGAAGGUUUUCGGAUCGUAAAACUCUGUUGUCAGGGAAGAACAAGUACCGGAGUAACUGCCGGUACCUUGACGGUACCUGACCAGAAAGCCACGGCUAACUACGUG